rnacentral:rRNA from 1 species
UGGGGAAUAUUGGACAAUGGGCGAAAGCCUGAUCCAGCCAUGCCGCGUGUGUGAAGAAGGCCUUUUGGUUGUAAAGCACUUUAAGCGAGGAGGAGGCUACUAGUACUAAUACUACUGGACAGUGGACGUUACUCGCAGAAUAAGCACCGGCUAACUCUGUGCCAGCAGCCGCGGUAAUACAGAGGGUGCGAGCGUUAAUCGGAUUUACUGGGCGUAAAGCGUGCGUAGGCGGCUGAUUAAGUCGGAUGUGAAAUCCCUGAGCUUAACUUAGGAGUUGCAUUCGAUACUGGUCAGCUAGAGUAUGGGAGAGGAUGGUAGAAGUCCAGGUGUAGCGGUGAAAUGCGUAGAGAUCUGGAGGAAUACCGAUGGCGAAGGCAGCCAUCUGGACUAAUACUGACGCUGAGGUACGAAAGCAUGGGGAGCAAACAGG